UACGUAGGGUGCAAGCGUUGUCCGGAAUUAUUGGGCGUAAAGAGCUCGUAGGCGGUCUGUCGCGUCGGCUGUGAAAACCCGGAGCUCAACUCCGGGCCUGCAGUCGAUACGGGCAGACUGGAGUUCGGCAGGGGAGACUGGAAUUCCUGGUGUAGCGGUGAAAUGCGCAGAUAUCAGGAGGAACACCGGUGGCGAAGGCGGGUCUCUGGGCCGAUACUGACGCUGAGGAGCGAAAGCGUGGGGAGCAAACGGG
rnacentral:rRNA from 1 species